CAGUGUGCUAGCCUUCGCCUUGUUAUGGUGCUUCCCACAGCAUGAACUUGGCACACUUUUUAAGAUGAAUGCAUUCUCUUGAACAUUUCAUAGCAAUAGAAAGCAGACUGAGACGGGUCACUUGACAAGGCAGAUGAUGAGGAGGAGGGUACAAAGUCAUGCACAGGAUCAACACAGCAUCAUGGAGCACCCUGCUGUGGGUCAGGAUGGCAUUCAGCACCCAGAGAUGCACAAAGGAGCUGCCAGGAGAGUUGCUGAGAUCCUGCAGUUGCCGGAAGAGGAGGGUGCUGGCCAACCUGCAGGAUCUCAGCCAUCGUGACGAGGUCCCAUUCCUAGAGCCCUUGAUGCCGGACCACUCUGAGGAUGAAGACUUGAAGGAGACACACAGGUGUUGCCACGUCUCGGGCUGUCAUACCUGCAACUGUCUUCUUGGGGUGAUCAAAGAUUAUGGCUCUCGGGAGUCUCAGGAAGGAUGUCUUAUUCUGGAAAGUGAGCCCCACGGGCAGCGAAGAUCACCUUUGUCCUUGUCUGUGGAUCCCACUGGAAGAAUGCAUGACCCAGGACCUCUUCACUGGGUCCUUUCCAUAGCUAGCUCCGUCCAGUUCCUGAGUGCAGCUUGCCUGGCACGAGCGAGGGCCUGGAUUUGACCCCCAGCACUAGAAAAUCAAACCACCACACAAGCACAUAGGUAAAAACACAUUGCUUUGUUUAUUAUC
rnacentral:lncRNA from 1 species